GCCGGGUGUUGGUGGUGCACGCCUUUAAUCCCAGCACUCGGGAGGCAGAGGCGGGCAGAUCUCUGUGAGUUUGAGGCCAGCCUGGUCUCCAGAGCGAGUGCCAGGAUAGGCUCCAAAGCUACACAGAGAAAUCCUGUCUCGAAAAACAAACAAACAACAAAAAAAGACAGGGUUUCUCUGUUGCUUUGGAGGCUGUCCUGGAACUAGCUCUUGUAGACCAGGCUGGUCUGGAACUCAGAGAUCCCCCUGCCUCU
ensembl:misc_RNA Metazoa_SRP Metazoan signal recognition particle RNA